CCUACGGGAGGCAGCAGUAGGGAAUCUUCCACAAUGGGCGAAAGCCUGAUGGAGCAACGCCGCGUGAGUGAUGAAGGCCUUCGGGUUGUAAAACUCUGUCAUUCGGGACGAACCGGAGUCUGAGGAAAUGCAGACUCUCUGACGGUACCGGAGGAGGAAGCCCCGGCUAACUACGUGCCAGCAGCCGCGGUAAUACGUAGGGGGCAAGCGUUGUCCGGAUUCACUGGGCGUAAAGCGCGCGCAGGCGGUGAUGUAAGUCUGAGGUGAAAACCCGAAGCUCAACUUCGGGACUGCCUUGGAUACUGCGUCACUUGAGGAUAGGAGAGGCAAGGGGAAUUCCACGUGUAGCGGUGAAAUGCGUAGAGAUGUGGAGGAACACCUGUGGCGAAGGCGCCUUGCUGGCCUAUUUCUGACGCUGAGGCGCGAAAGCGUGGGGAGCAAACAGGAUUAGAUACCCUGGUAGUCCACGCUGUAAACGAUGAGUGCUAGGUGUAGGUGGGCUCAUACCCAUCUGUGCCGAAGCUAACGCAUUAAGCACUCCGCCUUGGGGAGUUACGGGUUCGCAAGACUUGAAACUUCAAAUUGAAUUGACGG
rnacentral:rRNA from 1 species